rnacentral:RNase_P_RNA from 1 species
GGAGUCGGACAGACCGCCGCCGCGGAGAAUAUCCGGGGAGGAAAGUCCGGGCUCCACAGGGCAUGACGCCGGGUAACGCCCGGGAGGGGUGACCCUCGGACAGCGCCACAGAAAACAGACCGCCCGCUUCGGCGGGUAAGGGUGAAAAGGUGGGGUAA